rnacentral:rRNA from 1 species
CCUACGGGGGGCUGCAGUGGGGAAUAUUGGACAAUGGGGGGAACCCUGAUCCAGCCAUGCCGCGUGUGUGAAGAAGGCCCUCGGGUUGUAAAGCACUUUCAGUGAGGAAGAACGCCUGGUGGUUAAUACCCAUCAGGAAAGACAUCACUCACAGAAGAAGCACCGGCUAACUCCGUGCCAGCAGCCGCGGUAAUACGGAGGGUGCGAGCGUUAAUCGGAAUUACUGGGCGUAAAGCGCGCGUAGGUGGCUUGAUAAGCCGGUUGUGAAAGCCCCGGGCUCAACCUGGGAACGGCAUCCGGAACUGUCAAGCUAGAGUGCAGGAGAGGAAGGUAGAAUUCCCGGUGUAGCGGUGAAAUGCGUAGAGAUCGGGAGGAAUACCAGUGGCGAAGGCGGCCUUUUGGACUGACACUGACACUGAGGUGCGAAAGCGUGGGUAGCAAACAGGAUUAGAUACCCUGGUAGUC